UACGGAGGGGACUAGCGUUGUUCGGAAUUACUGGGCGUAAAGCGCACGUAGGCGGAUUUGUAAGUCAGGGGUGAAAUCCCGGGGCUCAACCUCGGAACUGCCUUUGAUACUGCAAAUCUCGAGUCCGGAAGAGGUGAGUGGAAUUCCUAGUGUAGAGGUGAAAUUCGUAGAUAUUAGGAAGAACACCAGUGGCGAAGGCGAAUCCCUGGAAAAUACCUGACACUGAGGCACGAAAGCUAGGGGAGCAAACAGG
rnacentral:rRNA from 1 species